UAGAGUUUGAUCCUGGCUCAGAAUCAACGCUGGCGGCGUGCCUAACACAUGCAAGUCGUACGCGAAAGGGGAGCAAUCCCUGAGUAGAGUGGCAAACGGGUGAGUAACACGUGGGUGACCUGCCUCAGAGUGGGGGAUAACGUCCCGAAAGGGACGCUAAUACCGCAUAACAUCCUGCCUUUGGAAAGGCGGAGAUCAAAGCCGGGGAUCGCAAGACCUGGCGCUUGGAGAGGGGCCCGCGUCUGAUUAGCUAGUUGGUAGGGUAAUGGCCUACCAAGGCGACGAUCAGUAUCCGGCCUGAGAGGGCGGACGGACACACUGGGACUGAGACACGGCCCAGACUCCUACGGGAGGCAGCAGUGGGGAAUUGUUCGCAAUGGGCGCAAGCCUGACGACGCAACGCCGCGUGGAGGAUGAAGAUCUUCGGGUC
rnacentral:rRNA from 1 species